CUACGGGCUGCUGCAGUGAGGAAUAUUGCACAAUGGGGGGAACCCUGAUGCAGCAACGCCGCGUGGAGGAUGACGCAUUUCGGUGUGUAAACUCCUUUUAUAUGUCAAGAAAAUGACGGUAGCAUAUGAAUAAGCACCGGCUAACUCCGUGCCAGCAGCCGCGGUAAUACGGAGGGUGCAAGCGUUACUCGGAAUCACUGGGCGUAAAGGACGCGUAGGCGGGUUGGAAAGUCAGGUGUGAAAUCCUACAGCUUAACUGUAGAACUGCACUUGAAACUUCUAAUCUAGAGUAUGUGAGGGGGAGAUGGAAUUAGUGGUGUAGGGGUAAAAUCCGUAGAUAUCACUAGGAAUACCUAAAGCGAAGGCGAUCUCCUGGAACAUUACUGACGCUAAGGCGUGAAGGCGUGGGGAGCAAACAGGAUUAGAUACCCUAGUAGUC
rnacentral:rRNA from 1 species